rnacentral:rRNA from 1 species
AGGAGAAUAAUUCGCAAUGGGCGCAAGCCUGACGGUGCGACGCCGCGUGAGGGAUGAAGGCCUUCGGGUUGUAAACCUCUGUCAGGAGUAUGGAAUGCUCAGGGCGCUAAUAUCGCCUUGAGGUGACUAAGGCUCCAAAGGAAGCUCCGGCUAACUACGUGCCAGCAGCCGCGGUAAUACGUAGGGAGCAAGCGUUACUCGGAAUCACUGGGCAUAAAGGGCGUGUAGGCGGAUGCGUAAGUCCGGUGUGAAAUCCCUCGGCUCAACCGAGGAAAGCCACCGGAUACUGCGUGUCUCGAGUGUGGAAGGGGAGAGUGGAACUCUUGGUGGAGCGGUGAAAUGCGUAGAUAUCAAGAGGAACGCCGGUGGCGAAAGCGGCUCUCUGGUCCAUAACUGACGCUGAGGCGCGAAAGCUAGGGGAGCAAACGGG